UACAGGGGGUGCAAACGUUGCUCGGAAUUAUUGGGCGUAAAGCGCGCGUAGGCGGCUACUUAAGUCGGAUGUGAAAGCCCUUGGCUCAACUGAGGAAGUGCACCCGAAACUGAGUGGCUUGAGUACUAAAGAGGGUCGCGGAAUUCCCGGUGUAGAGGUGAAAUUCGUAGAUAUUGGGAGGAACACCAGUGGCGAAGGCGGCUCACUGGACUGGUACUGACGCUGAGGCGCGAAAGCGUGGGGAGCAAACGGG
rnacentral:rRNA from 1 species